rnacentral:rRNA from 1 species
GUCUGGUGCCAGCAGCCGCGGUAAUACGGAGGAUGCAAGCGUUAUCCGGAAUUAUUGGGCGUAAAGCGUCCGCAGGUGGUCUUUCAAGUCUGCUGUCAAAUACCAGAGCUCAACUCUGGGCAGGCGGUGGAAACUGGGAGACUAGAGUACGGUAGGGGUAGAGGGAAUUUCCAGUGUAGCGGUGAAAUGCGUAGAGAUUGGAAAGAACACCAGUGGCGAAGGCGCUCUACUGGACCGUAACUGACACUCAGGGACGAAAGCUAGGGGAGCGAAAGGGAUUAGAUACCCCUGUAGUCCUAGCUGUAAACGAUGGAUACUAGGCGUUGCUUGUAUCGACCCGAGCAGUGCCGAAGCCAACGCGUUAAGUAUCCCGCCUGGGGAGUACGCACGCAAGUGUGAAACUCAAAGGAAUUGACGGGGGCCCGCACAAGCGGUGGAGUAUGUGGUUUAAUUCGAUGCAACGCGAAGAACCUUACCAGGACUUGACAUGUCGCGAAUCUCUUUGAAAGAAGAGAGUGCCUUAGGGAGCGCGAACACAGGUGGUGCAUGGCCG